AGAGUUUGAUCCUGGCUCAGGACGAACGCUGGCGGUGUGCUUAACACAUGCAAGUCGAACGGUAAGGCCCUUUCGGGGGUACACGAGUGGCGAACGGGUGAGUAACACGUGAGUAACCUGCCCUCAUCUCUGGGAUAACAGUCGGAAACGGUUGCUAAUACUGGAUAUGAGCUUGCAAGGCAUCUUGUGGGUUGGAAAGAUAUUUUUUGGUUGGGGAUGGACUCGCGGCCUAUCAGCUUGUUGGUGAGGUAGUGGCUCACCAAGGCUUCGACGGGUAGCCGGCCUGAGAGGGCGACCGGCCACAUUGGGACUGAGAUACGGCCCAAACUCCUACGGGAGGCAGCAGUGGGGAAUAUUGCACAAUGGACGGAAGUCUGAUGCAGCAACGCCGCGUGCGGGAUGACGGCCUUCGGGUUGUAAACCGCUUUCAAUUGUGACGAAGCUUUUUGUGACGGUAGCAGUAGAAGAAGCACCGGCUAACUACGUGCCAGCAGCCGCGGUGAUACGUAGGGUGCGAGCGUUGUCCGGAUUUAUUGGGCGUAAAGAGCUUGUAGGCGGUUUGUCGCGUCGGGAGUGAAAACUUGGGGCUUAACCCUGAGCUUGCUUUCGAUACGGGCUGACUUGAGGGAGGUAGGGGAGAAUGGAAUUCCUGGUGGAGCGGUGGAAUGCGCAGAUAUCAGGAGGAACACCGGUGGCGAAGGCGGUUCUCUGGACCUUUCCUGACGCUGAGAAGCGAAAGCGUGGGGAGCGAACAGGCUUAGAUACCCUGGUAGUCCACGCCGUAAACGGUGGGUACUAGGUGUGGGGGACAUUCCACGUUCUCCGUGCCGUAGCUAACGCAUUAAGUACCCCGCCUGGGGAGUACGGCCGCAAGGCUAAAACUCAAAGGAAUUGACGGGGGCCCGCACAAGCGGCGGAGCAUGCGGAUUAAUUCGAUGCAACGCGAAGAACCUUACCUGGGUUUGACAUAUGCCGGAAGCGUUCAGAGAUGGGCGUGCCUUUUUGGUCGGUUUACAGGUGGUGCAUGGCUGUCGUCAGCUCGUGUCGUGAGAUGUUGGGUUAAGUCCCGCAACGAGCGCAACCC
rnacentral:rRNA from 1 species